rnacentral:rRNA from 1 species
UCACCCAACAGCUAGCCCAACCACCCCCAAACAACAAACAACAUUAAUAACCCUUAAAACCCAAAACAACAAUAAAUAAAUCAUUCUCCCCCCUUAGUAUGGGCGACAGAAAAGGACAUUUUGACGCUAUAGAGAAAGUACCGUAAGGAAAAGCUGAAAGAGAAAUGAAAUAACUCAGUAAAGGAAAAAAAAGCAGAGAUUACACCUC